UUCCAUCAAAACAACCAGUACACUAGACUCCAAAAUGACUGCUUCUGUUGCCAACGGGUGAUCAUUCUUUUCCAUUUUCAUAGUGAGAAACUGUAUGAAUACAUUUUUAAAAGGUCUCCUACUUCAGAGCCAGCAGGGGCACCUGAGGGUGAAGCUUCGCUCUCUCUCUCACGUGUGAGUAACAGGCCUUUAGGGCUUCCUCAGCGGGAAGUGAGGCCUGCCCUCCACCAAGAUGCACACAGUGGGCAUGUCCCUACACAUAUGAGGUGGUUAAAAUGCUUGGCCUCUUGUCCCCCACCUGCCAAAGCAUGACUGUUCCCUAUUGUGGCAGGCCCUGAAGAGAUACAUAACUUAGUACCUGUAAGACAGAAGGGUGAGGGACAAUGUGUAAUCUGUGGUCUUUCUUUUCCACCUCUGACUUCUACUUCUAGGGAAGUAGAAAAUGUACGAUGGAGAGUGUAUAC
rnacentral:lncRNA from 1 species